GAUGAACGCUGGCGGCGUGCCUAAUACAUGCAAGUCGAGCGAACGGACGAGAAUCUUGCUUUUCUGAUGUUAGCGGCGGACGGGUGAUUAACACGUGUAUAACCUACCUAUAAGACUGGGAUAACUUCGGGAAACCUGAUCUAAUACCGGAUAAUAUUUUGAACCGCAUGGUUCAAAAGUGAAAAACGGUCUUGCUGUCACUUAUAGAUGGAUCCGCGCUGCAUUAGCUAGUUGGUAAGGUAACGGCUUACCAAGGCAACGAUGCAUAGCCGACCUGAGAGGGUGAUCGGCCACACUGGAACUGAGACACGGUCCAGACUCCUACGGGAGGCAGCAGUAGGGAAUCUUCCGCAAUGGGCGAAAGCCUGACGGAGCAACGCCGCGUGAGUGAUGAAGGUCUUCGGAUCGUAAAACUCUGUUAUUAGGGAAGAACGUAUGUGUAAGUAAAUGUGCACAUCUUGACGGUACCUAAACAGAAAGCAACGGCUAACUACGUG
rnacentral:rRNA from 1 species